rnacentral:rRNA from 1 species
GACGAACGCUGGCGGCGUGCUUAACACAUGCAAGUCGAACGGAAAGGCCCUGCUUGCAGGGUACUCGAGUGGCGAACGGGUGAGUAACACGUGGGUGAUCUGCCCUGCACUUCGGGAUAAGCCUGGGAAACUGGGUCUAAUACCGGAUAGGAGCCAUUUUUAGUGUGAUGGUUGGAAAGUUUUUUCGGUGUAGGAUGAGCUCGCGGCCUAUCAGCUUGUUGGUGGGGUAAUGGCCUACCAAGGCGGCGACGGGUAGCCGGCCUGAGAGGGUGGACGGCCAGGUGGGGGCGAGGCGCCGGGACAGAGCACGGGGGGGGGGGGCGGUGGGGAGGAGCGAAACGUGGGAGCAGGCGUGGGGGAGCGGAGGGGGGUGGGCGAGGAGUGGCUUUGUGUUUUUAACGCGUAGCGCUGGGGAGGAUGCUUUUUGGGCCGGAACAUAGAUAGGAAGCACCGGGAAACUACGAGCCAGCGGCAGCGGUAAGACGCGGAAGAGCCAACUGCUAACC